AAAUUGAAGAGUUUGAUCAUGGCUCAGAUUGAACGCUGGCGGCAGGCCUAACACAUGCAAGUCGAACGGUAACAGGAAACAGCUUGCUGUUUCGCUGACGAGUGGCGGACGGGUGAGUAAUGUCUGGGAAACUGCCUGAUGGAGGGGGAUAACUACUGGAAACGGUAGCUAAUACCGCAUAACGUCGCAAGACCAAAGAGGGGGACCUUCGGGCCUCUUGCCAUCGGAUGUGCCCAGAUGGGAUUAGCUAGUAGGUGGGGUAACGGCUCACCUAGGCGACGAUCCCUAGCUGGUCUGAGAGGAUGACCAGCCACACUGGAACUGAGACACGGUCCAGACUCCUACGGGAGGCAGCAGUGGGGAAUAUUGCACAAUGGGCGCAAGCCUGAUGCAGCCAUGCCGCGUGUAUGAAGAAGGCCUUCGGGUUGUAAAGUACUUUCAGCGGGGAGGAAGGGAGUAAAGUUAAUACCUUUGCUCAUUGACGUUACCCGCAGAAGAAGCACCGGCUAACUCCGUGCCAGCAGCCGCGGUAAUACGGAGGGUGCAAGCGUUAAUCGGAAUUACUGGGCGUAAAGCGCACGCAGGCGGUUUGUUAAGUCAGAUGUGAAAUCCCCGGCUCAACCUGGGAACUGCAUCUGAUACUGGCAAGCUUGAGUCUCGUAGAGGGGGGUAGAAUUCCAGGUGUAGCGGUGAAAUGCGUAGAGAUCUGGAGGAAUACCGGUGGCGAAGGCGGCCCCCUGGACGAAGACUGACGCUCAGGUGCGAAAGCGUGGGGAGCAAACAGGAUUAGAUACCCUGGUAGUCCACGCCGUAAACGAUGUCGACUUGGAGGUUGUGCCCUUGAGGCGUGGCUUCCGGAGCUAACGCGUUAAGUCGACCGCCUGGGGAGUACGGCCGCAAGGUUAAAACUCAAAUGAAUUGACGGGGGCCCGCACAAGCGGUGGAGCAUGUGGUUUAAUUCGAUGCAACGCGAAGAACCUUACCUGGUCUUGACAUCCACGGAAGUUUUCAGAGAUGAGAAUGUGCCUUCGGGAACCGUGAGACAGGUGCUGCAUGGCUGUCGUCAGCUCGUGUUGUGAAAUGUUGGGUUAAGUCCCGCAACGAGCGCAACCCUUAUCCUUUGUUGCCAGCGGUCCGGCCGGGAACUCAAAGGAGACUGCCAGUGAUAAACUGGAGGAAGGUGGGGAUGACGUCAAGUCAUCAUGGCCCUUACGACCAGGGCUACACACGUGCUACAAUGGCGCAUACAAAGAGAAGCGACCUCGCGAGAGCAAGCGGACCUCAUAAAGUGCGUCGUAGUCCGGAUUGGAGUCUGCAACUCGACUCCAUGAAGUCGGAAUCGCUAGUAAUCGUGGAUCAGAAUGCCACGGUGAAUACGUUCCCGGGCCUUGUACACACCGCCCGUCACACCAUGGGAGUGGGUUGCAAAAGAAGUAGGUAGCUUAACCUUCGGGAGGGCGCUUACCACUUUGUGAUUCAUGACUGGGGUGAAGUCGUAACAAGGUAACCGUAGGGGAACCUGCGGUUGGAUCACCUCCUUA
rnacentral:rRNA from 1 species